rnacentral:rRNA from 1 species
UCGAGAAUCUUCGGCAAUGGGCGCAAGCCUGACCGAGCGACGCCGCGUGCGGGAUGAAGGCCUUCGGGUUGUAAACCGCUGUCAGAGUGAAGGAAAUGCUAGGUAGCAAUCUGCCUAGUUUGACCGAUACUCAGAGGAAGUACGGGCUAAGUUCGUGCCAGCAGCCGCGGUAAGACGAACCGUACAAACGUUAUUCGGAAUCACUGGGCUUAAAGGGUGCGUAGGCGGUGUGGUAAGUUGGGUGUGAAAUCCCUCGGCUCAACCGAGGAAUUGCGCUCAAAACUACCACGCUAGAGGGAGAUAGAGGUGAGCGGAACUUAGGGUGGAGCGGUGAAAUGCGUUGAUAUCCUAAGGAACACCAGUUGCGAAAGCGGCUCACUGGGUCUCUUCUGACGCUGAGGCACGAAAGCUAGGGUAGCGAACGGGAUUAGAUACCCCCGUAGUCC